GAGGAGGGUGCGGGGUGCUUACCAUGCAAGUCGAACGAUGAAGGCGGGAGCUUGCUCCUGCUGGAUUAGUGGCGAACGGGUGAGUAACACGUGAGUAACCUGCCCUUGACUCUGGGAUAAGCGUUGGAAACGACGUCUAAUACCGGAUACGAGCUAGGACCGCAUGGUCACUAGCUGGAAAGAAUUUUGGUCAAGGAUGGACUCGCGGCCUAUCAGCUAGUUGGUGAGGUAAUGGCCCACCAAGGCGACGACGGGUAGCCGGCCUGAGAGGGUGACCGGCCACACUGGGACUGAGACACGGCCCAGACUCCUACGGGAGGCAGCAGUGGGGAAUAUUGCACAAUGGGCGCAAGCCUGAUGCAGCAACGCCGCGUGAGGGACGACGGCCUUCGGGUUGUAAACCUCUUUUAGCAGGGAAGAAGCGAAAGUGACGGUACCUGCAGAAAAAGCACCGGCUAACUACGUGCCAGCAGCCGCGGUAAUACGUAGGGUGCAAGCGUUGUCCGGAAUUAUUGGGCGUAAAGAGCUCGUAGGCGGUUUGUCGCGUCUGCUGUGAAAAUCCGAGGCUCAACCUCGGACCUGCAGUGGGUAUGGGCAAACUAGAGUGCGGUAGGGGAGAUUGGAAUUCCUGGUGUAGCGGUGGAAUGCGCAGAUAUCAGGAGGAACACCAAUGGCGAAGGCAGAUCUCUGGGCCGUAACUGACGCUGAGGAGCGAAAGCGUGGGGAGCGAACAGGAUUAGAUACCCUGGUAGUCCACGCCGUAAACGGUGGGAACUAGAUGUGGGGUCCGUUCCACGGAUUCCGUGUCGCAGCUAACGCAUUAAGUUCCCCGCCUGGGGAGUACGGCCGCAAGGCUAAAACUCAAAGGAAUUGAUGGGGGCCCGCACAAGCGGCGGAGCAUGCGGAUUAAUUCGAUGCAACGCGAAGAACCUUACCAAGGCUUGACAUAUAGAGGAAAAGUGUAGAAAUACACUCCCCGCAAGGUCUCUAUACAGGUGGUGCAUGGUUGUCGUCAGCUCGUGUCGUGAGAUGUUGGGUUAAGUCCCGCAACGAGCGCAACCCUCGUCCUAUGUUGCCAGCACGUAAUGGUGGGGAACUCAUGGGAUACUGCCGGGGUCAACUCGGAGGAAGGUGGGGGAAUGACGUCAAAUCAUCAUGGUCCCCU
rnacentral:rRNA from 1 species